rnacentral:rRNA from 1 species
GUACGGGAGGCAGCAGUGGGGAAUCUUGCACAAUGGGGGAAACCCUGAUGCAGCGACGCCGCGUGAGCGAUGAAGCCCUUCGGGGUGUAAAGCUCUUUCGACGGGAACGAUAAUGACGGUACCCGGAGAAGAAGCUGCGGCUAACUACGUGCCAGCAGCCGCGGUAAUACGUAGGCAGCGAGCGUUGUUCGGAGUUACUGGGCGUAAAGAGUAUGUAGGCGGUUGCGCAAGUUUGGUGUGAAAUCUCCCGGCUUAACUGGGAGGGUGCGCCGAAAACUGCGCGGCUAGAGUGCGGGAGAGGAGAGCGGAAUUCCUGGUGUAGCGGUGAAAUGCGUAGAUAUCAGGAGGAACACCGGCGGUGUAGACGGCUCUCUGGACCGCGACUGACGCUGAGAUACGAAAGCGUGGGGAGCAAACAGGAUUAGAUACCCCGGU